rnacentral:rRNA from 1 species
CUAGCAUAUCAAUAAGCGGAGGAAAAGAAACCAACAGGGAUGGCCCCAGUAACGGCGAGUGAAGCGGCCGCAGCUCAGAUUUGAAAGCCGGCCUUCGGGCCCGCGUUGUCAUCUGCAGAGGAUGCUCCGGGCGAGGCGCCUCCCGAGUCCCCUGGAACGGGGCGCCGGAGAGGGUGAGAGCCCCGUACGGUAGGACGCCGAGCCCGCCUGCAGCUCCUUCGACGAGUCGAGUAGUUUGGGAAUGCUGCUCCAAACGGGAGGUAAACGCCUUCCAAAGCUAAAUACCGGCUGGAGACCGAUAGCGCACAAGUAGAGUGAUCGAAAGAUGAAAAGCACUUUGGAAAGAGGGUCAAACAGCACGUGAAAUUGUUGAAAGGGAAGCGCCCGCGACCAGACCCGGGCCGCGCGGACCCGCCGGCGUUCUCGCCGGCGCCCGCCGCGCGGCGCGGGCCAGCAUCGGCUCUCGCGGGGGGAUCAGGGCCCCGGGAAUGUGGCUCUCCAGGGAGCGUUAAGCCCGGGAGCCUCGCCCCCGCGGGGGCCGAGGACCGCGCUUCGGCAAGGAUGCUGGCGUAAUGGUCGUCGGCGACCCGUCUUGAAACACGGACCAAGGAGUCGAGGUUCUGCGCGAGUGUCUGGGUGGCAAGCCCGCACGCGGAAUGAACGUGAACGCAGGUGGGAGCUUCGGCGCACCACCGGCCGGUCCUGAUGUCCUCGGAUGGAUCUGAGCAGGAGCGCAGGGCCUCGGACCCGAAAGAUGGUGAACUAUGCUUGGAUAGGGUGAAGCCAGAGGAAACUCUGGUGGAGGCUCGCAGCGGUUCUGACGUGCAAAUCGAUCGUCGAAUCUGAGCAUGGGGGCGAAAGACCAAUCGAACCGUCUAGUAGCUGGUUGCCGCCGAGU